GUACGUCAUCAACAGGUGCGCGCAACACUUCCCGAUGCGGCUUUUUUAUGUCAAAACACCUCGAUUCGAUCACAACAGAAACACCUGAGAUAUUCUGUUUAUCAGAAUUAAAUUAUGAAGCUAAACACUUGGGGUUCAGCAGUAUGAUAUCCGUAGACAGAUGAACAUAAACUGUAUAUAGUAAUUCAUGCAUUUCUCGGGAAUGAAAUGACACGUCAAAACAUCAGAAUUGUAGAAAGAACAAUACCGCUUGUUGUGGAUGUUUGUGAAAAAGUCAGAAAUGAAGACCACAAAACUAGUCGUUGUUUGAGGUUCACUCACUGGCAAUAUGUGCAGACACCGUUUAAAACAGCUCACUGUUACGUGUGACCACUACCGUACAGCUUUUGUAGACGGAAUUUAAUGUGAUUUUGCGUGACUUCAAACAAUUGUGAUCUUUUUAUUGAAACAUGUUUUGUUUUGUCUGUCUGUGUUGAAGUCACAGAGUCUUGUCAGUGCCUCUCCUUUCUUCUUAAUAACAUUUGGCAGAUUUUGAUGAAAGGCAACAUCAGUAUUAAACUUUGUAUGAAAUGUAGUCGAUACUAAUGCUCAUAACGGGUAAAACACAACAAUGUAAAUAUUCUUGUUAUCGCUAUGUUUCGGUCAAUAAACGUUUACAGAUUUUA